AGGACGAACGCUGGCGGCGUGCUUAACACAUGCAAGUCGAGCGGAAAGGCCCUUCGGGGUACUCGAGCGGCGAACGGGUGAGUAACACGUGAGCAAUCUGCCCUUAGCUUCGGGAUAGCUCCGGGAAACCGGAAUUAAUACCGAAUACGACUACGGCCGUACAUCGGCUGUGGUGGAAAGUUUUUCUGUCUAGGGAUGAGCUCGCGGCCUAUCAGCUUGUUGGUGAGGUAACGGCUCACCAAGGCGACGACGGGUA
rnacentral:rRNA from 1 species